AUUGGUUACGGUGAUAUGACACCGCAUACAUAUUUGGGACGUAUAAUUGGUUCAGUAUGCGCACUUACCGGUGUUUUAACUAUUGCAUUACCUGUUCCUGUAAAUAUUACAUAAU
rfam:Onchocerca volvulus assembly O_volvulus_Cameroon_v3 genomic scaffold, OVOC_OM2